rnacentral:rRNA from 1 species
AUUGAACGCUGGCGGCAUGCCUUACACAUGCAAGUCGAACGGCAGCACGGGUGCUUGCACCUGGUGGCGAGUGGCGAACGGGUGAGUCAUACAUCGGAACAUGUCCUGUAGUGGGGGAUAGCCCGGCGAAAGCCGGAUUACUACCGCAUACGAUCUACGGCUGAAAGCGGGGGACCUUCGGGCCUCGCGCUAUAGGGUUGGCCGAUGGCUGAUUAGCUAGUUGGUGGGGUAAAGGCCUACCAAGGCGACGAUCAGUAGCUGGUCUGAGAGGACGACCAGCCACACUGGGACUGAGAGACGGCCCAGACUCCUACGGGAGGCAGCAGUGGGGAAUUUUGGACAAUGGGCGAAAGCCUGAUCCAGCAAUGCCGCGUGUGUGAAGAAGGCCUUCGGGUUGUAAAGCACUUUUGUCCGGAAAGAAAGCCUUGGCCCGAAGACGGUCGGGGGAUGACGGUACCGGAAGAAUAAGCACCGGCUAACUACGUG